rnacentral:lncRNA from 1 species
AUUACCACCGACCAGUCCUCAGCCGGCAACAUGAAGCUGGGUGGCCUCUGCCUCCUGCUCCUCCUCGCCGUCCUUCUCACCCUCAAUGCAGAGUUCCAAGCAGUUGAUGUAGGUAUCUGUGUGACGGAGUGCAAGGUAGACCAGGACUGUGGGGCAGGAAGACGAUGCACCAGCAAUGGAUGUGGCCGGGUCUGCUCCCCAGUCCGGCGAAGAGAGGCCUGCGAGCACCAGUGCAGAGAAGACAGGGACUGUGGGAGUGGACAUCAGUGCGUGAGGAAGGGCUGUGGGCACGUCUGCGCCCCCGUCCAUCAAGUCGGUAUCUGUGUGACGGAGUGCAACGUAGACCAGGACUGUGGGGAAGGAAGACAAUGCACCAGCAAUGGGUGUGGCCGUGUCUGCUCCCCAGUCCAGCAAGAAGAUGUAGGUAUCUGUGUGACGGAGUGCAAGGUAGACCAGGACUGUGGGGAAGGAAGACGAUGCACCAGCAAUGGGUGUGGCCGUGUCUGCUCCCCAGUCCAGCAAAAAGAGGCCUGCGAGCACCAGUGCAGAGAAGACAGGGACUGUGGGAGUGGACAUCAGUGCGUGAGGAAGGGCUGUGGGCACGUCUGCGCCCCCGUCCAUCAAGUCGAUGUAGGUAUCUGUGUGACGGAGUGCAAGGUAGACCAGGACUGUGGGGAAGGAAGACGAUGCACCAGCAAUGGAUGUGGCCGUGUCUGCUCCCCAGCCCAGCAAAGAGAGGCCUGCGAGCACCAAUGCAGAGAAGACAAGGACUGUGGGAGUGGACAUCAGUGCGUGAGGAAGGGCUGUGGGCACGUCUGCUCCCCCAUCCCUCAAGUAGGUGAGUCUG